GUGGAACAUGUAGGUGGACUUAUGGGUGGGCUUUAUGGGCAUACUCACCGUCAGGCCCUGGGGCCCAGACCUUGAGCUAUGUAAGAGGCCCCAAAAAAUGGAGCUGCUUCCCGUUCACCCAGAACAUUGAAUUUUGUGACCACAGUUACAAACCGCCUCCAGAGAGCCUGUUCUACACCAGACCAGUGGAGCCAGACUGCAGCCAGAGCCCAUCACCAUCCUCAUGUGAUUGUAAGUAGG